CAAGCAUUCAGAAUUACAAAAAGACAGGGUUUAAAUCCAAUUACCGGAUUGUGAAGAACCAAGUUUGGUAGAAGAAUGACCCAAAUGGAACUUCAAUCCAGCAACCAUAGUCGUGAGUGGUAAUGUAUCUAAUGAGCUUCUCAUCUUCCUUUAACCUUCUGUUGGUUCAGCAAGAGUGGUGACCCAUCUUAAAUUUCUUAACUUUCUUCACACACUUAACCCUUUCCCAUUUCCACAAAACUCCAAAAAUUAAUAACAACCCAAGAAGAUUAUAACAACCUAAAGAGAAGCUAGUGCAAGAUGAAAACGAGAGAAAGAACAUUGUCGGUUGUUUCAUGCAGCGAAUAUUUGGUGCUAUGCAGCAAAUAAAGUGAGGCAUGGUGCUCUCCAACUGAUGCAUCAACUUGAACAAUUGAACCUAAAAGAAUGAAACUAUUUAGAUUUUUGCCCUUAACUAUUUCUCUUUAUACUUUCUGUACUUUGUUAUUCAAUAAUUUGAUUUUCAGGAGAGUAGGUUUAUAUUACCAUGUGUAAAUCUACUUUAACAAGCCUUAGUCAUUUCUUUUAAAUCUUUAUUAAGCACAAGAAAUGCUACAAAAUUACCUUGAACUUUGUUGCAACACUCUGCUUUUGAGACUGGUUAAAUAUUUUGGAGAAUAGCUGCAGCAAAUCACAAUUACAUGAUUUUGCUUCACAAACCAUGCUCUGAAUUUUAUCAAAAGAGUUUGUUUUACAAGCUUUAAAAGCUGAACAAAAUAAUUAAAAUAAUAAAACAUAAAGCUAAAAUUACCAAAUUAGAAUGAUAAAACUAGCAGAAACAAUGUUAUAUAUCCAAACAACUUCUGGUGUGUUGCUUAGCAUAUUCAGAGAAUUGUUAUAAUUUUUUCAAUAAGCACCUUACUCAUUUUGAAACAAGCAGCUCCAACUUUCACUUUCUUCCAAGAAAUAGCAAAUUGAUCAUAAGAAUAAAACUGGAUUUCUUGAUGAAAACAUGGAUUUGAACUAGGAUCGCCUUUAAUUAUCAUGUUUGGAAGAAAGAAGACCAAAAGAUCUUUAAAGGAAAUGCAGAGCAGAAAUAUUACUCAACUUAAAAGGGAUGCUAAAGAUGGAUAGUGUACUUAUAACAAAUUGCUCUGGUUUAAGGUAAGACUUACAUACGGUUCAAUAACUGUUGUUCUUCAAUUAGAAUAGGAGUUUCACCUCGUUAAUAUGUGGAGAAAGCUUUACAUUAAAUAAUUAUACAUAUUACCAAGGUGAAACUCUAAUUCUAAUUAGAGAACAGUACAAAUCACCUCCAUAGAACAGUAAGUAAGUUCUGCUCUUAGUUCAACUACUAAUAGACAAUGUUUAUGUGGAAUUUGGAAGUUAGAAACUUGAAAUGCAGAUAAUAUUGAUUUUAGAAAAAAAAAAGUUGACUAAUGCUUUGUAUGUCGCGAUAACAGAAUAAGAAUAAUAACAACAAUAAUAAAUAAUAAAUAGAAAACAAAGAGGAUUGACAUAC
rnacentral:lncRNA from 1 species